GACGAACGCUGGCGGCGUGCUUAACACAUGCAAGUCGAACGAAGAGCGAUGGAAGCUUGCUUCUAUCAAUCUUAGUGGCGAACGGGUGAGUAACGCGUAAUCAACCUGCCCUUCAGAGGGGGACAACAGUUGGAAACGACUGCUAAUACCGCAUACGAUCUAAUCUCGGCAUCGAGGAUAGAUGAAAGGUGGCCUCUACAUGUAAGCUAUCACUGAAGGAGGGGAUUGCGUCUGAUUAGCUAGUUGGAGGGGUAACGGCCCACCAAGGCGAUGAUCAGUAGCCGGUCUGAGAUGAUGAACGGCCACAUUGGGACUGAGACACGGCCCAGACUCCUACGGGAGGCAGCAGUGGGGAAUCUUCCGCAAUGGACGAAAGUCUGACGGAGCAACGCCGCGUGAGUGAUGACGGCCUUCGGGUUGUAAAGCUCUGUUAAUCGGGACGAAAGGCCUUCUUGCGAAUAGUGAGAAGGAUUGACGGUACCGGAAUAGAAAGCCACGGCUAACUACGUG
rnacentral:rRNA from 1 species